rnacentral:misc_RNA from 1 species
GUAUUUUGUUAUGAUAUAUUACAUUCAAGACUUCAAGUUUGGGCCGAAGCCACGGUUCACAGUGUAUAUUAUGUGUAUAAGGCCAAAAGGCCGAAUUCAAUAAUGAUCCUUCCGCAGGUUCACCUACGGAAA